AACGAACGCUGGCGGCGCGCCUAAUACAUGCAAGUCGAACGAGAAGGUGUAGCAAUACACUUGUACAGUGGCGAACGGGUGAGGAAUGCAUGGGCAACCUACCCUCGAGUGGGGAACAACCAGCCGAAAGGUUGGCUAAUACCGCGUACGCUUCCGGGUCUCCGGAUCCGGAAGGAAAGUCACACCGUGGGUGUGACGCUCAAGGAUGGGCUCAUGUCCUAUCAGCUUGUGGUGAGGUAACGGCUCACCAAGGCAACGACGGGUAGCUGGUCUGAGAGGACGAUCAGCCACACUGGCACUGCGACACGGGGCCAGACUCCUACGGGAGGCAGCAGUAAGGAAUAUUGCGCAAUGGGCGAAAGCCUGACGCAGCGACGCCGCGUGGGGGAUGAAGGUCUUCGGAUUGUAAACCCCUUUUAGGAGGGAAAAUGGGACGAGCAAUCGUCCGGAUGGUACCUCCAGAAAAAGCCACGGCUAACUUCGUGCCAGCAGCCGCAGU
rnacentral:rRNA from 1 species